CAACCAAGCCCCCACAAUGCCGCUCAGAAAAUGGUCCCAUCCCGGAAGUAAGAAAAAUUGCAGUUCCACCCUCAUCCGCUGGGGGCUGGUGCCAGAAGCGAGCAAAUCCUCAUUGACUCCCAUGUUAAAAAUGCCGAUUUCACAGCAGAAAUAAACAUGUUUACAGCCUGGUGCCAAAACAUGUUUUUUGUCUAAAUUAUCUAGUUUAUACUCAUGACAACUCUGAGGGGGGUGAAUUUUUUUCUAACUCUUCUGUUUAAGUGUAUUGAAAGCCUAAAAUUCUGUAUAAUUAAUGAGCAUCCGACACACGUGACCGCCGCCUCAGACCCACGUGACCACAGAGCUAGCUCCGUGGAAAGGCCUCAGUACAGCCUCGGUCCCUCCUGGAAACUGUGUCGGGAUUUUGAGUCUCUGUGCUUGUGAAUUCUGUUUUGGAUAAUGUUGGUGCAAUUGUUGGACAAAAUGACUUGCAGUGGUAUUAAUUGCACUAAUAGAGCGUCCAAGGAGUCUCCACUUCAUUUUUUUCGGGAAGGACCUGAUUGGUGCCCAGAACCUGUUGAAGAAGCACCAGGCUCUGCAGGCUGAGAUCACAGGUCAUGAACCUCGCAUCAAGGCUGUCACCCAGAAAGGAGAGACCAUGGUGGAGGAAGGUAGAGCAGGUCUGGUCCUGACAUGUUUCUGAGGUGUCUGCAGGUUCUGGCUCACUUUUUUUGGGUCCAGGUCACUUCGCUGGUGAGGAAGUGAAGACUAAACUGUGGGAGCUUCAUGGACGUUGGGACACGCUGAAGGCCAAGGCGUCCCAGAGGAGGCAGGACCUGGAGGACUCUCUGCAGGCCCAGCAGUACUUUGCGGAUGCUAAUGAGGCCGAGUCCUGGAUGAGGGAGAAGGAGCCCAUCGUUGGAAGUCCAGACUAAGGGAAAGACGAGGACUUGGCCGAGGCUCUCCUGAAGAAGCACGAGGCCCUGAUGUCGGACCUGUCGGCUUAUGGCAGCAGCAUCCAGGCCCUGAAGGAGCAGGCCCAGUCCUGCAGGGACCUGAAGGCCAACGAGUCCCGCCUGAGGGACAUCAACAAGGUGGCAUCUGAACUGGAGUCAGAAGGUCUGAUGGCUGAGGAGGCUCCUAUGGUUCAGGCUCAGCAACAAGAACAUCUGGGUUCUGCUCCUGGAAAGGAUGAAGCCGACUCUUAACACGGCGUCACCCUAGAAG